rnacentral:lncRNA from 1 species
GAACGGCUCGGUGCUGGUGCGUGGGGAAGUUUUGUUCCGGGGGGAUGCCCCCAGCAGCUCCCACCUCAUCCGCACGCUGCUCACGGAGGCGAGCAGAGCAGGGGAUGCCUUCAGCUGGCGGCUGGAGCCCCGCUCCAUCAGGUCUGGAGGUAAGCCAGGAGGGUCUGCAGCAGGGCAGCCACCCCCAAACUUCCCCCUGUGCACUGAUCCGAGCCCAAACCUCCUCGGUUUAGCCCUCGGGUAACCUCCCUGCUCCUGAUCCACACAAAACCAUGUGGUGCUGAGGGUGCUGGAGACCCCCGUGACCCAGUGCUGGUGCCAAAACUUUUGGGUUUCCCCUCCUUUGAGCUGCCUUGGGUGCAGCCUGAGCCCUUCCACCACGGACAGGAGAGCUCCUGCCCUUCACCGAGUGCCUCUGCCCCCCAGCGUGGGCUCAGGGCUGGGCACGCAGCUGGGGGAACAGGCACGGACAGAGCUUUUCUCACCCCUUCCAGGCUUCAGCUUGGAGAACCUGGACCCGGAGAAGCUGCCCAUCUCUCUCACUGCCCUCCAGCUCGGCCAGGAUGGGGCAGAGCCCCUGGUGAGCGAGGUAAUUCGGGCUCUCAGUGCCCUCUACCCCGUGAGGAACUUCACUGUCGGCCACCUCAGGUACGGGCAGCCCCUCUCCAAAUCUCCCUGCUGAACCCCAU